rnacentral:lncRNA from 1 species
AUAUAAUUACUAGACGGAAAGCAGCACGCGCGGAAACCAUGCAGACGAAUGGGAUUAGGCUCCGCCUCUUUUAAUUGGAUCAUUUGAAGACAAAAUAAGCACCCGAGGCGGCUUUUUGAUUGGAUAAGUGCCUCAUGAAUAUGUAUUUUAUCGAUAGUAUCGUUUAAGAAACCGGAUAAUAUAUUUUACCUCAUUGCGUCACUUUAAUUAUGCAGAUUUAUGCACGACGCUACUACACUCGCACAAACUGAGAAGAGUUAGUUCAUUGAGAAUGGAUUGAAACUGAUGAAGAUCGAGCUGGAAGGAGUUAACUGAUGAGUAGACAUUACAACAUUUCUUAUAUUUGCAAGAUGAAGCUGAAAGUCCCAUGGAGGAUGAUGCUUCUCUACAGUGGGUGAUGAAGGCAUGCUGAUUACAAACCAGGAGAGGAACAGCAAAGAACAGAUAUUGACGGGAUCAUAUCUAGAGAUGCGGGCCUACUACACUUCAUACGAGCAAGUGUGCUAAUAUACAAUGUAGGUACCCCCAAUAAACUAUUGUAGAACACAUAUCAUGCAAAAAGUUAUAGAUCUG